AAUCAACGCUGGCGGCGUGCCUCAGACAUGCAAGUCGAACGAUUAAAGCUCUCUUCGGAGAGUGCAUAGAGUGGCGCACGGGUGAGUAACACGUAAGUAAUCUACCUUCGAGUGGGGAAUAACGUCCGGAAACGGACGCUAAUACCGCAUAAUGCAGCGGCAUCGCAAGAUGACAGUUGUUAAAGAUUUAUCGCUUGAAGAGGAGCGUGCGGAAGAUUAGCUAGUUGGUAAGGUAAUGGCUUACCAAGGCUACGAUCUGUAACCGGUCUUAGAGGACGGUCGGUCACACAGACACUGAAUAACGGGUCAGACUCCUACGGGAGGCAGCAGUCGGGAAUUUUGGGCAAUGGGCGAAAGCCUGACCCAGCAACGCCGCGUGAAGGAUGAAGUAUUUCGGUAUGUAAACUUCGAAAGAAUGGGAAGAAUAAAUGACGGUACCAUUUAUAAGGGCCGGCUAACUACGUGCCAGCCGCCGCGGUAACAC
rnacentral:rRNA from 1 species